rnacentral:rRNA from 1 species
UACGUAGGGACCGAGCGUUGUCCGGAAUCAUUGGGCGUAAAGAGCGUGUAGGCGGCCACUUAAGUCCUGCGUGAAAUCUUGCGGCUCAACCUCGAGAUGUCGGCGGAAACCGUCUGGCUAGAGUCCGGAAGAGGAGAGUGGAAUUCCUGGUGUAGCGGUGAAAUGCGCAGAUAUCAGGAAGAACACCUAUGGCGAAGGCAGCUCUCUGGGACGGUACUGACGCUGAGACGCGAAAGCGUGGGGAGCGAACAGG